GACGAACGCUGGCGGCGUGCUUAACACAUGCAAGUCGAACGGGAUUUAGUAAACAGAAACCUCGGUGGAAGAUUACUAAUGAGAGUGGCGACCUGGUGAGUAACGCGUGAGCACCCUGCCUAUGACAGUGGGAUAGCCUCGUGAAACCGGGAUUAAUACCGCAUAAAAUCGUAGAAACACAUGUUUUACCGGUCAAAGAUUUAUCGGUCAUAGAUGGGCUCGCGUCUGAUUAGCUCGUUGGUGAGAUAAAAGCCCACCAAGGCGACGAUCCGUAGCCGGGCGGAGAGGAGGAAAAGGCACAAUGGGAAUGGGGCACGGACCAAAAUCCCAAGGGAAGGAGGAGGGGGGAAAAUUGGACAAUGGGGGAAAGCCUGAUCAAGCAAUGCCGCGGGAGAGAAGAAGGCCUUUGGGUUGUAAAGGUCUUUUCCAAGGGAAGAUAAUGACAGUACCGGGAGAAGAAGCUCCGGCUAACUCCGUG
rnacentral:rRNA from 1 species